CCCUCCUUCCCUCUGCCAGCCUCCCCAUGCAGACAACACUGUGUGGUGGGAACCGUGCAGGCUGGGGGACCUGAAGACUUGGGGUUUGACUCUUGGUUCAGUUUCUCAUUGGCACCUUCUGAGCCUCCGUUUCUUCAGCUGCUGAGAGAAGGUAAGAGCCUUCUGCAGUACUUUCUGGGGAAUCGGUGCACGAAUGGAGAGGAACGUUGUGCUCGUCUGAUUCAGGGGCUCACAUGAAAGGUUUAUCUCUGGAGACCUUUCCCCUCCUACGCAAUGCCCACCUCGAUAGACAAAAAUCCAGUCCUCUUCUUCUUGUGUGUCAUUUAUGUUGGCGUUUCCUGACUGUCACAACACACAAGUUGAGAAAUAAGUUGUCAGCAAUAAAAUGGGAAAGCAGUACAGGAUAAGUAUUAGGAGUGAGGGUUCUGGAGUCCACCUGCUUGAGCUCCUUCCUGGCUCUGGCUCCUGACCAGCCCGGUUGGGCAAAUAAUCUCAGCCUCAGGGUCCGUCUGGAUCAAAGGGAAUAAUAGCACCUAUUUCAGCGGGGUGAUCCCGGCAGCACACUUAGAUGUCAGGGCAGACAAUCGAUGCUCAACAGACUUCAGCUUAUUAUUAUUACCAGUUACAAAGACAGAAAUUUAGAAAUCUCAUUUUUAAACAUCAACCCUGAUUCAAGUUUCUCAUGUCCCUCCUUGCAUUCUGAGCAGACAAAAAACCAGAGCAGAGCCAAAGCUAUAAGCCAAGAAAUGCUCAGAGUCCUAGGAAUGCCCCUGGAGUGUCAAGCAUGUGAGUGGCAUGUGACAUCUGGUGUCCAAACUCAAAUAAUAACAUAUGUAUAUAGUGUUUGAUAUGCCAGGCAUUAUUGUAGAUGUUAUGCUUAUUAAUUCAUUUCAUCUUUGCCAGCAUUCCAUCAAGUACUAUUAUUGCCAUUUCAUAAGUGAAGAAAACUGGGCAGAGAGGCAAAAUGAUUUUCCUAAGGUGGAAUUAGUGCUGGAGUCAGGAAUUGAACCCAGGGAGUCUGGCUAUAAAGUUUUCCCUCUGUGCUCUACUGUAAUACAGACAAGUGGAGAAAUCCACUCAUUUUAGUAUUGUGUUCAUGAUUAAAGAACUUAAAAUUGAUCGUUAGAGCACAACUGGGGUGUAAGAUCAUUCACAAUUUCUGCAUUCCCUUCGGAAUUCCAGUUGUAUGUUUAAUCAGAUAAAGUAUAAGCCUUUGGGUUUCAGCCCCACCCCACACCACCCCUGGCAGCUGGGCUUUGGGGAAGAGCAAGGGUAGCGGAGGCACUUUCCAACCUCCCUGUGGUGGAGAAACUUCUAAGAUGACCCCCAGUGAGUCAUACUUUUAUGUAACCCUCUCCCCUGGAGGGCGGGUGGUACCCAUGACUGGCUUCUCACCAACAGAGUGAUGCUGAGGGUGAUGGACAUCACCCCUGUGGUUGUAUUCAAGGGAAAAUUUCCUGCUGACCUGGAAGAUGGAAGCCACCUUGUUGUGAGGGGGCCACUGUAAGGCCCUGAGGGGCAGCCCCCACGACAGGCAGCAGGAACAUGGGGCCAUCAGUCCUACAGCCACAAGGAACUGAAUUCUGCCAACAACCUUGAAAGCUUGGAGGAUGCCGCCAAGAUCCAGAAAGGAACACAUCCCACACACACCUUGAUGGCAGCCUUGUGAGACCCUGAGAAAAGGACCCAGUUAAACCGUGUCUUGACUCCUGACCCACAGAAACUAUAACAAAAACAAAAAUGUGCUGUCCUGAGCCUCUUGAGUUUCUGAUCAUUGAUUAUACAGCUGUAGAAAAGCACAUCACUUUUGUCAUCAUGCAGGUGGAGAAGUUGGACUUGACAAGACUAGACAAUACCAGAGGGAUUAAAAACCCAACCUUCUAACUCAUCUAACCCCUUAGUGCAAAAGGGUGUCUUCCAGGCAUUAAAAUAAAAGGAGAAAUAUGGGCAGAUUCCCUACCUAGGAUCACAAAUAUACCAACAGAGAGCUCUUUUUUUUCCCCUCAAAUGGGCAUUUUUCCUGUUUUGCAAGGCUGUAGACUUUGAAGGGCAGAGAACACCCCAGGAGUCUCUCUCAUCCACUUGCCUGGCUCCAGGAAGGGCCUCAUUUAAAUCGCAUUUAAAUGAAGGGGUGUCUCAUUACUUCAGUUUCUCCCUUGACAUCCCCGAGACUUAAAACCUUCAACCUCAGAAAAUUCUGUCCAUUGGAAGGUCUCCUUCCUAAGUCUGCUUUCCUCUGGCUCCUUCUUGGAGCAGCAGAAGGCACGCUGUCUGCAUUGUAUUGCAAAGUAACACUUCAUAUAUUUGAAGGCAGAUAAAUCCUUCUUAAUGCUCGUCUUCCUGAGGCCACAAUUCCCUCUCCAGGACACUGGAGUGUGUGAAGCCUCAACCACAUGAAGUCAAAAUUCUCUACCAGCCUGGGGGGUGGGGGGGGAAAUCAGAGAUGCUCUUUGACCACAGUGUAGCUGAAGAGAGCCCCAGAGGUUAUUUGAGGGUAAAAAGAUUAGGAACCAAAAACAGGGACGUAUUAAGGCACCGAGAGCUAGUGAAAAUUCUUCUUGAGGACUUAAGCACGUGCCGGCAGAUGAAAUAUUCACGAAUUCUUCCAGAAAAAAAAAAAUAGCAUGGUUGUUGUAAGGAGAAAUUUAAGUUGAAGAGGGAGAUGAUUAAUUUUAAUCAGUGGUUCUCAAAGUGUGAUUCCAGGGCCAGCAGGCUGAGCAUCUCUGGCAUCUUCAUUUUCUAGGGUGGCCGAAAUGGAUUAUCACAAGCAGGUGACUUCAAAUGACAACUUCAUUACCUCACAGUUCUGGGGGCUAAAGGUUAAGAUCAAGGUAUAGGCAGGGCCAUGCUCUUUCUCAAGUCACUAGAAGAAGAUCCGUCCCAGGUCUCUCAGUUUGUGGUGCUGCUUCCUGUCACUGGUGGGUCUUUGCUUGUAGACACAUCACUCCAGGCUCUGCCUCUGCUGUCACAUGGCUUCUCCCCUGUCUCUGGGUCUCUUCUCCUUUUAAGGACACCAGUCAAUUGGGCUAAUGAUCCACCCUACUCCAGUAAAGCUUUUUCUUAAUUACUUCCAUUUGAAAUGGCCCCAUUUCCAAAGAAGGUCCCAUUCUGAAGUUGUGGGAAAGGCAUGCAAUGUGAGGGACGGGGGACACUGAUUCAUUCAUUACUCCCGGAUAUCAGUUAUAAAUGUAAAUUCCUGGGCCCCACCUAGUCAAUCAGAGACUCUGAAGAGGGUUCCACCAAGCUCCUUUAACAAUAUCUCCAGGUGAUUCUGAUGCUUGGAUGUUUUAAAAGAGGCACCGAUGUGGAUAUAACUGAAGCAUUUUCCAAAGUGACCUUGACUUAAGUUCAGAAAUCCAGAUGUAGGAGGGUCUCCUCAGUGACAUGGAAAGUGGGCCACUUCACCUGAGAUCAGGUCUGUGACUUUAUCGUGGUGGGGAAACAUUAUUUUGCUAGGGGUACACUCAGAGGGUGCCUUGCACUUACAUAUCAAGAUCCAAUGCGUGACUUUUCUGUCAUCAGGCACUCAGGGACAGCCCAAGAAAAGCUGAGUGGAGAAAGACUCUGAUCUUGGCUCAUGGUUCAUAAGGAGCCCUCAGCCCCCAUGAAAGGACUCACCCUUGCUCGUAGCAGCACAAUGGAUCCCAAAGGAAGCAACCUCCAGAAUCCCAACAAAGCCCCAAGAACCAGUCUGAGACUGAGAAGUGGCCAACCCCGAGUCAAGGCAGCCCAGGAGGAAAACACACCAGCUCUGAGAGCACAGGAGGGGGAGAAGCAUCCCUAAAGCAAACAGUCCCAGCUCCCCCUUUGCUGAAUAAACACACCUGCUGGGAUGCUAGACGAAGCUCCCGAAUUUUAGUACUGUCAGCACAACUUCCUGGCAGCCUGCAAAGCCUCAGUGCUGUAUCCUUCAGACUUGCUGAGCUUUCACUGCAGAGUGUGGCCUGGAGACUUUGACUGCCUCUCCGGGUGCAGUAAAUGAGGGGACAUGAAAAGAACCUAAGAGCGUGUUCAAAAACGCCCCUCACCCGGUGUGUAAUGGAAACUCAUCACAGCAAAAAUAAAUGGCAGGGCCUCCUUUGGGGAUUCUGCACUGCUGCCUCGUGCCUGGGUUUCUAUUCUUCUGGAAGGAAUUAGGCAGCAAUGUCGGCUCUUGCACAGGCUGCGGGCUCAGGUUUCCCAGACAAUAUCCUGACUUUGGACGCAUGUGUCUCAGCAAGAUAUGUGUCCCUCGGCGUGGGAGAGUAUGAGGGCUGCUUGGUGGCUCGUUAGAAGACUGAAUGUAUUCAACAAGGCAGCAGUUUUUAUUUUUAAAAUCCAGGGUCUGACUCAAACAUGCCUGGAGGAAUAAUACUGCUUGCUACACCUCGAUUUUAGGCAGACUUAGUCCUCCUAAAAGCUUAAAAGAGAAAUGAGGCCAUUUAGAACACUGAGUAUUGCUUAGAUUCUGCUGCUUUUUUAUAGGUGCUUUGCAAUUUGGAGAGUUCUGUACCUCAGUGGUGUGGAUGCUAUGGUUAGGGACCACAACCACAAGUAUGUUCUGGGGUUGGGGGGUGAAUGGUACCUACCCCAGAGGUUAGGAGAUGGGGCCAAUCACCCUCUCUGGGUGUCAUUCAUCUUGCCACCUCCUUCCACCCCAUUCACCCCGCCUCCCUCCCUGCCCCUCACCUCCCCUCAACCAACACACUGAGGGCGUCAGCCAGAGACGGCCAAGGCUUUUAUACUCCUCUUGCCCUAUGACCACUGCUCACAGGCACCCCUGUCUGAUGCCACAUUCUGUUUCCAGCGGGUGGGCACACAAAGGGGCAGGAGAGGCCUGUCUUCCCCAACCCACCCUCCACCCUUACUGAGCCAGAGGAAGAAAAAGGCACUUAGGACUCCAGGGCCAAGAAGGAAACCAGCCCAAUAGAAGUGUUUCUCCAGAAGUAAAUGAGCCCUUGGGACAAAAGGCUGGCUUUGCUGCACCGACAGCUUCCAAAUAUCCACACCCGGCCCAGCCCAGUCUCGGGCAUCCCCACAGCAGCUGUGAGUUCAAGUUCAGGAGGGGGUUAUCCUGUGAAAAACACCCCAUGUCCAUGGGUUCUGAGGUUCUGAAACACCUGGCAGACCUUAUGAGAGAUUAGCCAUCAAUCACUAAUGUCAAAGCCAAG
rnacentral:lncRNA from 1 species